GGGUCUUGCUCUACGGCCCACCGCAGUAUCAAGCACUCCCGCCUGGUCCGGCGUCUGCAAUGGCAAGAGCAGCGGCGGCGGAGGCCUUUUCGCGGCGCCUGGGCGCGGCCGUGCGCGGCCUCUCCGGCGCCUGGUACAACCGUCAUAUGGCCGCCGCCGACCGCGCCAUCCGCGCCCGACUCCCCCUUGUCGACCUCGUCCUCGAGGUCCGCGACGCCCGCGUACCCGCCACCUCGGCGUUCGAGCUUCUCCACCGCCGCUCCCCGGAGGAGCCCGACGUGCGUCGGCUCGUUGCGCUCAACAAGGCCGACCUGGCUGAUCCGUCCGAAACCGAGUGGGUGGCGUUCAUGAAGCAAAGGGGCUGCUCGUGCAUCGCGGUCAAUUCACACUGCAGGGAAAGCAUCAAUGAGCUGUUGAAUGCUGUGCGUGGGAGGAUCAGGGAGGUCAAGCUUGGGGUGAGCGACUGCACAGGGACUGUUCUCUUGGUCGGUAUCCCUAAUGUUGGCAAGUCGGCCAUCAUCAAUGCGAUGCAUCAAAUUGGAAGGAUUGGGGCAGCAGAGAAGGGAAAGCUCAAGCAUGCUAUUGUCAGCAGCCAUCCAGGAGAAACCAGAGAUAUAAGUGGCUACAAGGUUGCUAGUCAUCCAAAUAUAUAUGUGUUAGACACUCCUGGUGUUCUAUCUCCUAUAUUUGCUAAUGAUGAAUAUGGUCCCAGGCUAGUUUUGACAGGAGCAAUUAAGGAUUCCUUGUUAGAGGAGUAUGAGAUUGCACAAUUCCUUCUUACAAUUCUUAACUUAAGGAAGGAAUGCAGGGAGUGGGAGAACCUGAAUCUAGAUGGAGAUAAAUCUUCUUUUGCUGAUGCAGUUCCCACCAGGAGUUGCCAUACUAAAAGGCAGUAUUCCUCAGAUCAUACCCAGGAUUUUAUCGUUAGAGCCGUUCGUCAAGCGCUUUCUGAGACCAUAGCAUCUUUUCAGGGAGAUUUAGGAAAUGAGAAUGAUUUAAGAAGAUUGGUAGAAAUCCAGUUUACACACUUGCAGAAUGCUUUCAGGAUUUCUGCUGAAACAAUUGAGGAUAGGAAUAAACGUGUCGCUGUCAAAUUACUCAAUCUCUAUCGCACAGGAAGGCUUGGCCAUUAUACCUUAGACCAUGUUCCAGAUGUUAGGCAGGAAGUAGCUGCAUAAUCAUCCAAUGUGGAACACGGGUCAGAGAAGGAUAUAUGUGGAUACAAAUCAUUACUUACUUAGUCUGGAAAACAGUACCUGAAUUUCUGAUUCGAGGCAUCCAUGAAGUGCAGCGACAGUAUAUGCGAAGUGUCUAAGCACAGAUCCAAGCUUUACAUACUUUUGCCAUGGGUAACUGUAACACUGCAUUGAGUGUCUUGGUUCCCAGCUUGCAUAGUGUGCCUGGCCAAUUGUUAUUAUUGAGGGCAUAUACUUUUUGAAAUAAGAGACAUCCAUGACAUCAAUCUGAUAAAAAACAUUUGCACAGAGAAAAGGAUAAGAAGAUUGAAGCAUCAAACGGUGAUUUACUUACCAGGGACUCAUCACUUGAUUUUGAGUCUAGUACUUCUCUAUACCCAGUAUGAAUGGAAGCUCUUGACUUCUGCUUAUCAAGAAUAUUAUCAUGCUUCUCUUGAUCUCGAAAAUACUCAUCCACACAGCCUGCAAUUUUUCUUUGUGCAGCUGUGGAGGUCCUCUCCCGACCAGUUUGGUAAUACGAAGAGGCUCAUAAAGAGGCAUAUGGCACACCCUAUGGCAAUUGUACUCAAGCGAUCUCGUGCUAAAGGCAGUAUGUUCUCUUGGCGGAAGCUUGAGACCGUUAUCAGAUUGAAGGUUAGCAAAAAAAUCACCACUCCAUAAUCAUAGUUCUUCUUAAUGGUUGGGAAGAAUCUCAAAUACGUUGCCACGAAUCCUGUCAUUGAAAAUGCUACGGCAUAAGAUACUAUCAAUUAGGCCAUCCUGAAUUCCAACUUUACACGGUGCAUACCUAUCAGAAAUACUGAAGAUGCCACGAAAAAACCACGGAAAACUUUUCCAGAUCUUACUGCUACAAGUUCAAUGAUAAAUGCUAGAGAUGCUGCUAUGACUGUUCCGAACCCUCUAUUCAGACCUUUGCAUAUGGUUGCACCUGUUGAUCAGUACUCACUUGUCAGAAACCGAAGAAGUACAUCCACAAAUGGCACAUAUUAUAAUCAGUAUGAUGCUAGUAGAUUACCUGCGGUAAAUUCGAGCACAACAACAACCGUCAUGACAGCCCACAUUGCAUUCUUUCCCACUCCUUUGAACAAGGGUUCUAGUAUAUACAAGAGCGAGACCAGUGUGAGAGCUGUCCCAACCUUGAGAGCAUGAAUGGCUCUCCUUUGAUCUUCUCUUCCAAUACUCCAUGCGUACGCCCACCAAGAAGCAGGAAUCCUGGUGAUCUUCUUCACUCUCUCAGGAAGCAUCAGCAAGCUGUUCUUGUUGCUGCUGGGAUCUACAGCACAAGCCAUUCUUGCAGCCUGGGCUCAAGAUGAAUGCUCAGGUUCCUUGGAAGAUGGCAAUGCUACCAACAGUAACGCCGUCUAGGUGUUCCGAAUAUCAGGAAGGGAGAGGACGCUAACUUCGUCCCGUUUGUUGAGCAACUCGCCGAGUCACAGGACGAUACGCAUUUCUCCUUUUCCUGACGCUGAUACGUGGUGAUGGCGGCCUUGACUUUGCACUGGACCAUCGGCUGAAUGAGUUCACGUGAAGAGGAAGUUGGGAAAGGCCCCGGGCUCGGCAAGCCGCUCGUGUGCGCGCCUUGAUUGGACGACAAUGGCCGGCUCGUCCGGUCCCGGUCCGGCUGUGGUGGAGAGCGACAUGUGCGGAUGGCCGCUUGAGGUUGUAGUGUAGGGCGAAGGUCACGGUUGUCGCCGGGUUCAGAUUUGUCGUGCGGCCGCUCUGCCAGCUGCGGUGAUUCUCUGCCGUCAGAUUUCUUUUUGCCGUCCGGGGGUCGACACCUUGCCAGGCGAGGGCACACCUGUGAACUGGUUGGUGGCCUUGUGUCAAACCUGCACUUGAAAUGCACGGCUGGUGCUGGACUUUGGGUUGGUUCGCAUUGAUCACAUCUAAUUUAGGGAUAUUUUUGUUUUUUGUCGCUAAGCCUUCGUAUCAUUGCAUGAUUUCUAAAACAAAACUUCUGUACUUUUUUACUAGUGAUAGCAACAACUAUUUUUUUCUCUUGUUA